rnacentral:rRNA from 1 species
UUGAGCAUCAAACUUUUAAAUUGAAGAGUUUGAUCAUGGCUCAGAUUGAACGCUGGCGGCAGGCCUAACACAUGCAAGUCGAACGGUAACAGGAAACAGCUUGCUGUUUCGCUGACGAGUGGCGGACGGGUGAGU